UACAGAGGCCCCCAAGCGUUAUCCGGAAUCACUGGGCGUAAAGGGUGUCGAGGCGGUCAUGUUAGUCGUUCGUAAAAUCCGUGGGCUCAACCUACGGCCGGCGAGCGAAACGGCAUGACUUGAGGUUUGGAGAGGUGCGUGGAACUCACGGUGUAGGGGUGAAAUCCGUUGAUAUCGUGGGGAACACCAAAGGCGAAGGCAGCGCACUGGCCAAAAUCUGACGCUCACACACGAAAGCUAGGGUAGCGAACGGGAUUAGAUACCCUGGUAGU
rnacentral:rRNA from 1 species